GAUGAACGCUAGCGGCAGGCCUAAUACAUGCAAGACGAACGGUAAGUUGAGUAGCAAUACUUAGCCAAGAGUGUCGUACGGGUGCGUAACACGUAUGCAACCUACCCUAUACAGGAGGAUAGCCUAGGGAAACCUGGAUUAACCCUUCAUAGUAUUAUUGGAUGGCAUCAUUUGAUAAUUAAAACUGAGGUGGUAUAGGAUGGGCAUGCGUCUGAUUAGUUAGUUGGCGGGGUAAUGGCCCACCAAGACGAUGAUCAGUAGGGGUUCUGAGAGGAAGAUCCCCCACACUGGCACUGAGAUACGGGCCAGACUCCUACGGAGGCAGCAGUAGGGAAUAUUGGGUCAAUGGAUGCAAGUCUGAACCAGCCAUGCCGCGUGCAGGAGAAGGCCUUCUGGGUUGUAAACUGCUUUUGCCAGGGGAUAAAAGUUUCCAUGCGUGGAAAACUGAAGGUACCUGGUGAAUAAGCCACGGCUAACUACGUGCCAGCAGCCGCGGUAAUC
rnacentral:rRNA from 1 species